rnacentral:misc_RNA from 1 species
CCAAUAGCGUAUAUUAAAGUUGUUGCAGUUAAAAAGCUCGUAGUUGAAUUUUAGGCCUGGCCGGAUGGUCCGUCUUUGGCGAGUACUGUUCUGUCGUCGGGUCUAUCCUUCUGGUGAGCCGGGAUGCCCUUUAUUGGGUGUGUCGGGGAACCAGGACCAUUACCUUGAAAAAAUUAGAGUGUUUAAAGCGGGCAUUUGCUUGAAUAGAUUAGCAUGGAAUAAUAGAAUAGGACGUUGGUUCUAUUUUGUUGGUUUUAGGACCACCGUAAUGAUUAAUAGGGAUAGUUGGGGGCAUUAGUAUUCAAUUGUCAGAGGUGAAAUUCUUGGAUUUAUUGAAGACUAACUAUUGCGAAAGCAUUUGCCAAGGAUGUUUUCAUUAAUCAAGAACGAAAGUUAGGGGAUCGAAGACGAUCAGAUACCGUCGUAGUCUUAACCAUAAACUAUGCCGACUAGGAAUCGGGCGACGUUAUUUCAUGACUCGUUCGGCGCCUUAUG